rnacentral:misc_RNA from 1 species
AACACUGUUAACCUGCGGUACCUGCGGAAGGAUCAUCAUCGAAUUCAUAUCCUUCUCCGACCGGAGGAGGACCUAUGAUAAACCCUUAUGUGCACCGUAAACCGUUCACUUUGGCAGGCUUUGGUGGUGAGCGUGAGCUCGUCAACCUCGCGUUCCCUCCCUAGGGGGGUUGCGCGUGGCGGCCUGCCGGAGUCCUUCAAUGAAAAACACGUUUUCGAACACGACUGAAAUUUCCUUUGA